rnacentral:rRNA from 1 species
CGUACGUUAGUCGGCGGACUGGUGAGUAACACGUGGGUAACCUACCUAUAAGACUGGGAUAACUUCGGGAAACCGGAGCUAAUACCGGAUAAUAUUUCGAACCGCAUGGUUCGAUAGUGAAAGGUGGUUUUGCUAUCACUUAUAGAUGGACCCGCGCCGUAUUAGCUAGUUGGUAAGGUAACGGCUUACCAAGGCGACGAUACGUAGCCGACCUGAGAGGGUGAUCGGCCACACUGGAACUGAGACACGGUCCAGACUCCUACGGGAGGCAGCAGUC